GCUUACGGCCAACCGCCUGGUUCACGCCCGAUCUCGUUUGAUCUGGAAGCUAAGAUAGGUUGGGCCUGGUUAGUACUUGGAUAGGGAGACUGCCUGGGAAUACCAGGUGCUGUAAGCU
rnacentral:rRNA from 1 species